UACAGGGGGUGCAAACGUUGCUCGGAAUUAUUGGGCGUAAAGCGCGCGUAGGCGGCUACUUAAGUCGGAUGUGAAAGCCCUUGGCUCAACUGAGGAAGUGCACCCGAAACUGAGUGGCUAGAGUACGAAAGAGGGUCGCGGAAUUCCCCGGUGUAGAGGUGAAAUUCGCAGAUAUCAGGAAGAACACCAAUGGCGAAAGCAGCUUUCUGGGACGGUACUGACGCUGAGACGCGAAAGCGUGGGGAGCGAACAGG
rnacentral:rRNA from 1 species